rnacentral:rRNA from 1 species
CCUACGGGAGGCAGCAGUGAGGAAUAUUGGUCAAUGGGCGCGAGCCUGAACCAGCCAAGUCGCGUGAGGGAAGACGGUCCUAUGGAUUGUAAACCUCUUUUGUCGGGGAGCAAAAGACGCCACGCGUGGCGUUCCGAGAGUACCCUAAGAAAAAGCAUCGGCUAACUCCGUGCCAGCAGCCGCGGUACUACGGAGGAGGCGAUCGUUAUCCUGAUGUAUUGGGUUUAAAGGGUGCGCAGGCGGAAGAGCAAGUCAGCGGUAAAAUUGAGAGGCUCAACCCCUUCGAGCCGUUGAAACUGGUUUGCUUGAGUGAGUGAGAAGUAUGCGGAAUGCGUGGUGUAGCGGUGAAAUGCAUAGAUAUCACGCAGAACUCCGAUUGCGAAGGCAGCAUACCGGCGCUCAACUGACGCUCAUGCACGAAAGUGUGGGUAUCGAACAGGAUUAGAUACCCUUGUAGUC